UACAGAGGGGGCAAGCGUUAUUCGGAAUUAUUGGGCGUAAAGGGCGCGUAGGCGGCUUGGCAAGUGGAUGGUGAAAUCCCUCGGCUUAACCGAGGAACUGCCGUCCAAACUGCUUUGCUUGAGACCGGGAGAGGUGAGUGGAAUUCCCAGUGUAGCGGUGAAAUGCGUAGAUAUUGGGGAGGAACACCAGUGGCGAAGGCGGCUCACUGGACCGGUACUGACGCUGAUGCGCGAAAGCGUGGGGAGCAAACGGG
rnacentral:rRNA from 1 species